CCAGCCUUCUUCUGAAAGGGGAUCCACCUACAGAAAACAGUCCACCAGUCACCAGUCUCUCAAGGACUUACAGGCCCAGCUCUCUCCAGAAGGGCCCUCGCCUUCUGGACAAAAACAGGGCUAACCUACAGCGUCUAGUAACGGAGUAAGAACAGGCAGACAUGCCAGCUGAUCACCUCCAACCUGGUGCUGGAGAAGAAGGGGCAGGGCAGGGUGGCCUUGCUGAGCUGGGCCUCCUCUGGGUUCCUAGAGUAUUUUUACCUGAAGGCAGCCAGGUACUCAGGAUCCCCUAUGGGGGGUUCCAGGCCUCCAGCCCAGGCCACGUUGACAUUGAAGCCCUCACCACUGCCAGCCCCCACCUGGGAAACAGGACAAGAGAGACAUGAGGAGAGCAGAGGCCCAGAAGAGGAAUCUCAGGAUGCUGGUGCUGCAGGAAGAGCUCAUCAAGACUCUUCACUUCCAGAUGGGGAAACUGAGGAAUGGAGAGGUUAAGCAAUCUGCCCAGGAUCACAUAGCUCCCAUGGCAGGGACAGGGCAAGGGCAGGAGGAGAGUCCUGAUGUGUGUUUACCUCUUCUACAGCCCCACUGCCUGGGAAGAAGUUGCCGUCAUCGUGGCGAUGCAGGGAGAUGUAGAGUACACUGGGAUCCUGAUAGAAGGUUUUCUGGGUGCCAUUGCCAUGGUGAACAUCCUGUGCAGGGUGGUGGAGAUUAGGGAAGGUCCAAAAGCAGAGAAAUGGAGGCCAGGAUGUGUUGGAAGGAUUUCAAGGUUGGUGACCAUUCUGAAGGUCAGAAACCUAGACCGGAGGUUAGGAAACUAGGGUUCCUAGAGCUACAUGGUUGAGUAGCCCCAAUUACUCUAUGGAACCUUAUCUCUCCAUGUGGAAAGACAUUCUCUAUGUAUACAUAUAUAUGAGUAAUAUAUAAAUCAUUUCUCUCUACCUA